rnacentral:rRNA from 1 species
UACAGAGGCCUCGAGCGUUAGGCGGAAUCACUGGGCUUAAAGCGUGUGUAGGCGGAUGCCUAAGUACCUUGUGAAAUCCCACGGCUCAACCGUGGAACUGCUUGGUAUACUGGGUCUCUUGAGCCACCUAGGGGCAAGUGGAACAAACGGUGGAGCGGUGAAAUGCGUAGAUAUCGUUUGGAACGCCAAUGGUGAAAACAACUUGCUGGGGGUGUGCUGACGCUGAGACACGAAAGCCAGGGGAGCAAACGGG